rnacentral:rRNA from 1 species
GAUGAACGCUGGCGGCGUGCAUAACACAUUCAAGUCGAACGGUGACGGGACUUCGGUCCCUGAACAGUGGCGGACGGGUGAGUAACGCGUGAGCAAUCUGCCUGGCAUAGAGGGAUAACACAGGGAAACUUGUGCUAAUACCACAUGACGUAUACGGAUCGCAUGUUCUGUAUACCAAAGGGAAACCGAUGUCAGAUGAGCUCGCGUUGGAUUAGACAGUGGGCAGGGUAACGGCCUACCAAAUCAACGAUCCAUAGCCGAACUGAGAGGUUGAACGGCCACAUUGGAACUGAGAAACGGUCCAGACUCCUACGGGAGGCAGCAGUGGGGAAUAUUGGGCAAUGGGCGAAAGCCUGACCCAGCAACGCCGCGUGAAGCAAGAAGGUCUUCGGAUUGUAAACUUCUUUUAUGAGGGACGAAAACAAUGACGGUACCUCAUGAAUAAGCCACGGCUAACUACGUGCCAGCAGCCGCCGUAACAC